UACAGAGGGUGCGAGCGUUAAUCGGAAUUACUGGGCGUAAAGCGCACGUAGGUGGCGACGUAAGUCGGGUGUGAAAGCCCCGGGCUCAACCUGGGAAUUGCAUUCGAGACUGCAUUGUUGGAGUACGGAAGAGGAAGGCGGAAUUCCCGGUGUAGCGGUGAAAUGCGUAGAUAUCGGGAGGAACAUCAGUGGCGAAGGCGGCCUUCUGGUCCAGUACUGACACUCAAGUGCGAAAGCGUGGGGAGCAAACAGG
rnacentral:rRNA from 1 species